GACAGAGGGUGCAAACGUUGUUCGGAAUUACUGGGCGUAAAGCGUGUGUAGGCGGCUACAUAAGUCGGAUGUGAAAGCCCCGGGCUCAACCCGGGAAGUGCACUCGAUACUGCGUAGCUUGAGUCUCGGAGAGGUUGGUGGAAUUCUCGGUGUAGAGGUGAAAUUCGUAGAUAUUCGCAAGAACACCGGUGGCGAAGGCGGCCAACUGGACCAUUACUGACGCUGAGGCGCGAAAGCGUGGGGAGCAAACAGG
rnacentral:rRNA from 1 species